GCCGGGUUUAGGUGACGUCUGGAGCUGAGCGGCUGCGGUGUUGUAGCUUUGGUGGAGAGAAGGAGUUGUUUAAAAUACUCAUCCAUAUUCGUUAUAUUGAACUGUUCCGGAGGCUAGGAGUGGGGCCUCGACUUAGAGUCCUUCUUCAUGGGCCGCCCGUCUGUAGGAUGGCCCUCUUUGCUCAAGCUGUUGCUGAGAUAUGAAUUCCUUAAGCAUCUCAGCUCCGGUCUUGGUUAUUGGAGCCACCACCCGGCUUGAUUCUUUAGAUCCAGCAUUGAGAAGGGCAGAACGUUUUGACAGACUACUACUGUAUGUCUGCGAAUACCAGACGGAGUUUCAUGUACGUAGCCCUCAGACCUACACUGCAACUUCUCUGUGUGCUGCACCUAAUGCAAAGUAAUGACCUUUAUUUCAUAUAUCACUUAAUAAACGAUUUCUUUACAUUUUCCUUUCUCCUAUGCCACAGAAUUCUUAGUAUUCUUUGUAGGAAUCUGAAGCUGGCAGCAGACGUUGACUUUACACAGCUGGCACGGCUCACACCUGGAUAUGUCAUUAUGGAUCUGAUAGCACUGUGCUGUGAGGCAUCCAAGACUGCUGUAAACCGACUCCUGCUGCCGCAGCUCAAGAGUCAGAUCAUCACUGAUGUACAGAAUAAUGUCAGUACCAAAACUAAAUUUAAGUGCAAAACUAGGUUUGCUUAUAUCUGUGCCUAGUAUCAAAAGGGGAAUUGAAUGUUGUUAUCAGUAUUAACAUUCAAUAAGAAAUGACCUGAAAUGAACUUAUUAAUUAAUAACUGCACUGGAAAUAUUCCCAGACAUUUGGGUUUUUGUCUAUCUGCCUCCUGGUGCAGUGGCUGGAUCCUGCACUCUCAUUGAACUCUCACUUUGGUUUUUGUCUGUAUUAAACCGUGGUUUUAAUGAACUUCACCUGUUGGA